rnacentral:rRNA from 1 species
GAUGAACGCUGGCGGCGUGCUUAACACAUGCAAGUCGAACGGCGACGAGGACUUCGGUCCUCUGAUCAGUGGCGGACGGGUGAGUAACGCGUGAGCAACCUGCCUUUCAAAGCGGGAUAACGACUGGAAACGGUCGCUAAUACCGCAUAACGUGUAUUGACCGCAUGAUUGAUACACCAAAAGGGUAACCUGAUGAAAGAUGGGUUCGCGUCUGAUUAGAUAGUUGGUGGGGUAACGCUCACCAAGUCGACGAUCAGUAGCCGGACUGAGAGGUCGAACGGCCACAUUGGAACUGAGAUACGGUCCAGACUCCUACGGGAGGCAGCAGUGGGGAAUAUUGGGCAAUGGGCGAAAGCCUGACCCAGCGACGCCGCGUGAAGG